GUACUUGCUUCAGCAGCACAGAUACUAAAAUUGUAAUGAUCAGAAAAGAUUAGCAUGGCCCCUAUGCAAGGAUGACAUAUAAUUCAUGAAGGAUUACAUGUUUUU
ensembl:snRNA U6 U6 spliceosomal RNA